rnacentral:lncRNA from 1 species
UAUGGGUAUCCAUUCAGGAUCGGCCUAAAAUAGUCCUCUAGAAUUUAAAUUUUUUUUCUAAGAAAAUUCAGCCUACUGAAUCUGAACGAAGCCUGGAUUGCGAUCAACACUUGACCUCUUUAUUUGAUCUUCUUCUUCUCUUGCCUUUGUCUCUUGCUUUGUGCUGCUACCAGGGAUCAAGAACCAGCAAGAUAGGACACCCAACUAGCUCUUGGUGUGAGGAAGAAGGGACACCCCAAAUAAUGGUGGAC